GAGGAAAUGGCUGAGACUAGGCAACAUACUGUAAAUAUGUGUACGAUUUAUUCUUUUCUCA
rnacentral:tRNA from 1 species